GCCGAAGUGGCGGAAUUGGCAGACGCACUUGACUCAAAAUCAAGCGUAGUUCCCUACGUGCCGGUUCGAGUCCGGCCUUCGGCA
rnacentral:tRNA from 1 species